GGAGACCCAUCCGGGCUGAUGGCUGGAGCGCGGAGCCCCGCCCAACAGGAGAAAAGGAGCUGCCGGCCGGAGUUCUAGCACCGAGAAGGAGAGGUGAGGACAUUGAGGAUCAGAGAUGUUGAAAAACUUGCCCAAGGAUGCACAAGUGGAAUGGUGACUGUUGUCUCUUGGGCACAGGUAGCUGCCAACAGGUGAGCCUCUCAGCGGAUCCCUGAUAGAGGUAGGAUGGCAAAUAGCUUCUUUAAUAUGACAGCCUCAGUGUAGUGGCUGGCAAGGAGCUGCGAUUGGGAGGAACUGGAAGUGACACCCAAGCUCAUUGAGCAAGCAUGCUGUGAGUGCUACUGGAAUACCUGAGUUUUGGCUGGGCACAGAACUGUCUGGAAUACAGACUGCAAUUCCCAGCCUUCUGUGCAGUUCUGUGUGGCCAUGUGACUAAGUUGUGGUCAAUAUGAGGGUAGUAGCGGAACCCUUUUUGCAAAUGGCAUGCUAUGCAGAAGCCCAUUAUAUAAAACAUCUCAGAGCUUCUCUGGUUGAAGCAAAAUGGAGGGCUUGGAGCCUUCCUAGAUUAAACCCCACCUUGGCCACCCCUUUCUACACCACGGUAGCCCCUUGAAUCUGCUCACCCAGCCUGAAGGUCUUGUGAGCACAUCUGAAAAGCACAGAUUAAGAACCAGAAAGCAAGCUAAACACAGUGAUCAGAUUAGCCAUAGCAGGUGAUCCAGUGUCCAAACAGUAAAGCCCAUCCGUUUUCUUCAUAGAGGAGCCUCUGAGAUUCUCAUUCGGAACUCUGGGCUCUUAUGUUAGCCACAAUUCUAACAAGCUUUGCAAUCUGGUUUCUCAGUCACGGAAGAAUAGAAGAACAACUCAGAGGAGGAAGAAGUCAGACAUAGCCAGACACGGCUGCUAGCAGUUCCACCAAUGAAAGAGGAGACCAGGAUGUUUAAAACAGGCAAACACAAGGUGCGAAAAACCAGAAGCGAAAACUUCUGAGGUCAUUUAAGGAAGGACUAUCGUUAUCCCCGGAAGCAGAGAGAAGUUCCCUUUGCCCAACAUCACACUGCAAGCACGUGUUGGAGCUGAGAUUCAAACCCAGGCAUCCAGGGUCCAGGGCCCAUGCUUUUAAUAUAUUCCAUAUCUUAGGAGAAUUUCCCCUAUUUAAACAAUAAAAGUGCAAAAAUCUUGUGGCUAGCCAAAAUUUUCAGUUGUUUGGAAAACUUAUUUAUCCAAUAAGUGGAAAACUCACUUGUCCUCCAACAAUUCUGGAUAAAUGAAA
rnacentral:lncRNA from 1 species